UUAAGCGACUAAGCGUACACGGUGGAUGCCCUGGCAGUCAGAGGCGAUGAAGGACGUGCUAAUCUGCGAUAAGCGUCGGUAAGGUGAUAUGAACCGUUAUAACCGGCGAUUUCCGAAUGGGGAAACCCAGUGUGUUUCGACACACUAUCAUUAACUGAAUCCAUAGGUUAAUGAGGCGAACCGGGGGAACUGAAACAUCUAAGUACCCCGAGGAAAAGAAAUCAACCGAGAUUCCCCCAGUAGCGGCGAGCGAACGGGGAGCAGCCCAGAGCCUGAAUCAGUGUGUGUGUUAGUGGAAGCGUCUGGAAAGGCGCGCGAUACAGGGUGACAGCCCCGUACACAAAAAUGCACAUGCUGUGAGCUCGAUGAGUAGGGCGGGACACGUGGUAUCCUGUCUGAAUAUGGGGGGACCAUCCUCCAAGGCUAAAUACUCCUGACUGACCGAUAGUGAACCAGUACCGUGAGGGAAAGGCGAAAAGAACCCCGGCGAGGGGAGUGAAAAAGAACCUGAAACCGUGUACGUACAAGCAGUGGGAGCACGCUUAGGCGUGUGACUGCGUACCUUUUGUAUAAUGGGUCAGCGACUUAUAUUCUGUAGCAAGGUUAACCGAAUAGGGGAGCCGAAGGGAAACCGAGUCUUAACUGGGCGUUAAGUUGCAGGGUAUAGACCCGAAACCCGGUGAUCUAGCCAUGGGCAGGUUGAAGGUUGGGUAACACUAACUGGAGGACCGAACCGACUAAUGUUGAAAAAUUAGCGGAUGACUUGUGGCUGGGGGUGAAAGGCCAAUCAAACCGGGAGAUAGCUGGUUCUCCCCGAAAGCUAUUUAGGUAGCGCCUCGUGAAUUCAUCUCCGGGGGUAGAGCACUGUUUCGGCAAGGGGGUCAUCCCGACUUACCAACCCGAUGCAAACUGCGAAUACCGGAGAAUGUUAUCACGGGAGACACACGGCGGGUGCUAACGUCCGUCGUGAAGAGGGAAACAACCCAGACCGCCAGCUAAGGUCCCAAAGUCAUGGUUAAGUGGGAAACGAUGUGGGAAGGCCCAGACAGCCAGGAUGUUGGCUUAGAAGCAGCCAUCAUUUAAAGAAAGCGUAAUAGCUCACUGGUCGAGUCGGCCUGCGCGGAAGAUGUAACGGGGCUAAACCAUGCACCGAAGCUGCGGCAGCGACGCUGAUGCGUUGUUGGGUAGGGGAGCGUUCUGUAAGCCUGCGAAGGUGUGCUGUGAGGCAUGCUGGAGGUAUCAGAAGUGCGAAUGCUGACAUAAGUAACGAUAAAGCGGGUGAAAAGCCCGCUCGCCGGAAGACCAAGGGUUCCUGUCCAACGUUAAUCGGGGCAGGGUGAGUCGACCCCUAAGGCGAGGCCGAAAGGCGUAGUCGAUGGGAAACAGGUUAAUAUUCCUGUACUUGGUGUUACUGCGAAGGGGGGACGGAGAAGGCUAUGUUGGCCGGGCGACGGUUGUCCCGGUUUAAGCGUGUAGGCUGGUUUUCCAGGCAAAUCCGGAAAAUCAAGGCUGAGGCGUGAUGACGAGGCACUACGGUGCUGAAGCAACAAAUGCCCUGCUUCCAGGAAAAGCCUCUAAGCAUCAGGUAACAUCAAAUCGUACCCCAAACCGACACAGGUGGUCAGGUAGAGAAUACCAAGGCGCUUGAGAGAACUCGGGUGAAGGAACUAGGCAAAAUGGUGCCGUAACUUCGGGAGAAGGCACGCUGAUAUGUAGGUGAAGCGACUUGCUCGUGGAGCUGAAAUCAGUCGAAGAUACCAGCUGGCUGCAACUGUUUAUUAAAAACACAGCACUGUGCAAACACGAAAGUGGACGUAUACGGUGUGACGCCUGCCCGGUGCCGGAAGGUUAAUUGAUGGGGUUAGCGCAAGCGAAGCUCUUGAUCGAAGCCCCGGUAAACGGCGGCCGUAACUAUAACGGUCCUAAGGUAGCGAAAUUCCUUGUCGGGUAAGUUCCGACCUGCACGAAUGGCGUAAUGAUGGCCAGGCUGUCUCCACCCGAGACUCAGUGAAAUUGAACUCGCUGUGAAGAUGCAGUGUACCCGCGGCAAGACGGAAAGACCCCGUGAACCUUUACUAUAGCUUGACACUGAACAUUGAGCCUUGAUGUGUAGGAUAGGUGGGAGGCUUUGAAGUGUGGACGCCAGUCUGCAUGGAGCCGACCUUGAAAUACCACCCUUUAAUGUUUGAUGUUCUAACGUUGACCCGUGAUCCGGGUUGCGGACAGUGUCUGGUGGGUAGUUUGACUGGGGCGGUCUCCUCCUAAAGAGUAACGGAGGAGCACGAAGGUUGGCUAAUCCUGGUCGGACAUCAGGAGGUUAGUGCAAUGGCAUAAGCCAGCUUGACUGCGAGCGUGACGGCGCGAGCAGGUGCGAAAGCAGGUCAUAGUGAUCCGGUGGUUCUGAAUGGAAGGGCCAUCGCUCAACGGAUAAAAGGUACUCCGGGGAUAACAGGCUGAUACCGCCCAAGAGUUCAUAUCGACGGCGGUGUUUGGCACCUCGAUGUCGGCUCAUCACAUCCUGGGGCUGAAGUAGGUCCCAAGGGUAUGGCUGUUCGCCAUUUAAAGUGGUACGCGAGCUGGGUUUAGAACGUCGUGAGACAGUUCGGUCCCUAUCUGCCGUGGGCGCUGGAGAACUGAGGGGGGCUGCUCCUAGUACGAGAGGACCGGAGUGGACGCAUCACUGGUGUUCGGGUUGUCAUGCCAAUGGCACUGCCCGGUAGCUAAAUGCGGAAGAGAUAAGUGCUGAAAGCAUCUAAGCACGAAACUUGCCCCGAGAUGAGUUCUCCCUGACUCCUUGAGAGUCCUGAAGGAACGUUGAAGACGACGACGUUGAUAGGCCGGGUGUGUAAGCGCAGCGAUGCGUUGAGCUAACCGGUACUAAUGAACCGUGAGGCUUAACCUU
rnacentral:rRNA from 1 species